UAAAGUUGUUGCGGUUAAAAAGCUCGUAGUCGGAGGUGUGUCUCGGACGGUCGGUUCGCCGCUUGUCGGUGCUCAACUGGCCGGUCCGGACGUCCUGCCGGUGGGGCCGCGAGGCUCCGUUUUCCUUCUUUGGUCCUCUUCACCGAGUGCCUUGGUGGGCCGGCACGUUUACUUUGAACAAAUUAGAGUGCUCAAAGCAGGCCGUUGGUCGCCUGAAUACUGUGUGCAUGGAAUAAUGGAAUAGGACCUCGGUUCCAUUUUGUUGGUUUUCAGAACUCGAGGUAAUGAUUAAUAGGGACGGACGGGGGCAUUCGUAUUGCGACGUUAGAGGUGAAAUUCUUGGAUCGUCGCAAGACGAACCGAUGCGAAAGCAUUUGCCAAGAACGUUUUCGUUGAUCAAGAACGAAAGUUAGAGGUUCGAAGGCGAUCAGAUACCGCCCUAGUUCUAACCAUAAACGAUGCCAGCUAGCCAUCCGCCGAAGUUCCUUCUAUGACUCGGCGGGCAGCUUCCGGGAAACCAAAGCUCUUGGGUUCCGGGGGAAGUAUGGUUGCAAAGCUCAAACUUAAAGGAAUUGACGGAA
rnacentral:rRNA from 1 species